CCCGGGCCUUGUACACACCGCCCGUCACACCAUGGGAGUUGGUUUUACCCGAAGGCGUCUCGCUAACCGCAAGGAGGCAGGCGACCACGGUAGGGUCAGCGACUGGGGUG
rnacentral:rRNA from 1 species